rnacentral:rRNA from 1 species
AUUGAACGCUGGCGGCAGGCUUAACACAUGCAAGUCGAACGGGUGCAGCAAUGCAUCAGUGGCAGACGGGUGAGUAACACGUGGGAACCUUCCUAGGGGUACGGAACAACUCAGGGAAACUUGAGCUAAUAUCGUAUACGUCCGCGAGGAGAAAGAUUUAUCGCCCUUAGACGGGCCCGCGUCGGAUUAGCUAGUUGGUGGGGUAACGGCCUACCAAGGCGACGAUCCGUAGCUGAUCUUAGAGGAUGAUCAGCCACACUGGGACUGAGACACGGCCCAGACUCCUACGGGAGGCAGCAGUGGGGAAUUUUGGACAAUGGGCGCAAGCCUGAUCCAGCCAUGCCGCGUGAGUGAAGAAGGUCUUCGGAUUGUAAAGCUCUUUUGCCAGGGACGAUAAUGACGGUACCUGGAGAAUAAGCCCCGGCAAACUUCGUGCCAGCCGCCGCCGUAA